CGCGUAGGCGGGAUGGCAAGUCGGUCGUGAAAUCCUUCGGCUCAACCGAAGAACGUCGGCCGAUACUGCCGUUCUUGAGGGAUGCAGAGGAGACUGGAAUUCCCGGUGUAGCGGUGAAAUGUGUAGAGAUCGGGAGGAACACCGGUGGCGAAGGCGGGUCUCUGGGCAUCUCCUGACGCUGAGGCGCGAAAGCGUGGGGAGCAAACGGGAUUAGAUACCCCGGUAGUCCACGCCAUAAACGAUGACGACUAGGCGUGGGGUGGUUCAGUCCACUCCGUGCCGCAGCUAACGCAUUAAGUCGUCCGCCUGGGGAGUACGGCCGCAAGGUUGAA
rnacentral:rRNA from 1 species